GCAGCUCUGGAUUCCCAAAUCCUCCCAGUCAGGGUUCAGCACUGAACACAGGACACUCACCAUGGACUUAGGGCUCAUAUUGGUUUUCUCUGUCCUGAUUUUAAAAGGUGUCCAGUGUGAUGUGCAGUUGCUGGAGUCUGGAGGAGGCUUGGUGCAGCCUGGAAAUUCUUUGAAACUCUCCUGUGCAGCCUCUGGAUUCACUUUCAAUAGUUAUUACAUGAGCUGGGUCCGCCAGGCUCCCGGGAAGGGGCUGGAGUGGGUAGCAUCCAUUAGCAGUAGUGGUGGUAGCACCUGGUAUAACGACGCUGUGAAGGGCCGGUUCACAAUCUCCAGAGACAAUGCCAAGAACACUCUGUACCUGGAAAUGAUCAGGCUGAAGUCUGAAGACACAGCCAUGUAUUACUGUGCAAGAGGCACAGUGAGUGAAUGCUACUGUGAGCUCAGACAAAAACACCACUGA